rfam:Drosophila virilis strain TSC#15010-1051.87 Ctg01_5932, whole genome shotgun sequence.
CAACCUCAACUCAUAUGGGACUACCCCCUGAAUUUAAGCAUAUUAAUUAGGGGAGGAAAAGAAACUAACAAGGAUUUUCUUAGUAGCGGCGAGCGAAAAGAAAUCAGUUCAGCACUAAGUCACUUUGUCUAUAUGGCAAAUGUGAGAUGCAGUGUACGGAACAUCAACAUUCUAGUAUGAGAAGUUAACGAUUUAAGUCCUUCUUAAAUGAGGCCAUUUACCCAUAGAGGGUGCCAGGCCCGUAUAACGUUAAUGAUUACUAGAUGGUGUUUCCAAAGAGUCGUGUUGCUUGAUAGUGCAGCACUAAGUGGGUGGUAAACUCCAUCUAAAACUAAAUAUAACCAUGAGACCGAUAGUAAACAAGUACCGUGAGGGAAAGUUGAAAAGAACUCUGAAUAGAGAGUUAAAUAGUACGUGAAACUGCUUAGAGGUUAAGCCCGAUGAACCUGAAUAUCCGUUAUGGAAAAUUCAUCAUUAGAAUUGUAAUAUUUUAAACAAUAUUAUAAUAAUAGUGUGCAUUUUUUCCAUAUAAGGACAUUGUAAUCUAUUAGCAUAAAUAUUUAUCAUAAAAUUAUGUCUGAUUGCUUAUUUGAAUUAUAUGCUUGGCAUUUUAACAUAAAAUAAAAGAUAUAAAUUUGAUAAAGUGCUGAUAGAUUUAUAUGAUUACAGUGCGUUAAUUUUUCGGAAUUAUAUAAUGGCAUAAUUAUCAUUGAUAUUUGUGUUUAUUAUAUGCAUUUGUAUGAUUAACAAUGCGAAAGAUUCAGGAUACCUUCGGGACC